rnacentral:rRNA from 1 species
UGAACGCUAGCUACAGGCUUAACACAUGCAAGUCGAGGGGCAGCAUGGUCUUAGCUUGCUAAGGCCGAUGGCGACCGGCGCACGGGUGAGUAACACGUAUCCAACCUGCCGUCUACUCUUGGACAGCCUUCUGAAAGGAAGAUUAAUACAAGAUGGCAUCAUGAGUCCGCAUGUUCACAUGAUUAAAGGUAUUCCGGUAGACGAUGGGGAUGCGUUCCAUUAGAUAGUAGGCGGGGUUAACGGCCCACCUAGUCUUCGAUGGAUAGGGGGUUCUGAGAGGAAGGUCCCCCACAUUGGAACUGAGACACGGUCCAAACUCCUACGGGAGGCAGCAGUGAGGAAUAUUGGUCAAUGGGCGAGAGCCUGAACCAGCCAAGUAGCGUGAAGGAUGAAGGUCCUACGGAUUGUAAACUUCUUUUAUACGGGAAUAAAGUAUCCUACGUGUAGGAUUUUGUAUGUACCGUAUGAAUAAGCAUCGGCUAACUCCGUG